rnacentral:rRNA from 1 species
GCAAGUCGAGGGGCAGCAUUUACUUCGGUAAGAUGGCGACCGGCGCACGGGUGCGUAACGCGUAUGCAACCUACCUUAUACAGAGGGAUAGCCCAUGGAAACGUGGAUUAACACCUCAUAGUAUCAUUUUAUCGCAUGAUAAUAUGAUUAAAACUUCGGUGGUAUAAGAUGGGCAUGCGUAGGAUUAGGUAGUUGGUGAGGUAACAGCUCACCAAGCCGACGAUCCUUAGGGGUUCUGAGAGGAUUAUC